GUGGUCGUCGUUCAACGGACAAGGAUCCCGGCGCGCCACGCCGGCAAUGGUGGUUCGAUUCCGCCCGGCCACA
rnacentral:tRNA from 1 species